rnacentral:rRNA from 1 species
GCUUGUCUCAAAGAUUAAGCCAUGCAUGUCUAAGUAUAAGCAACUAUACUGUGAAACUGCGAAUGGCUCAUUAAAUCAGUUAUCGUUUAUUUGAUAGUACCUUACUACAUGGAUAACCGUGGUAAUUCUAGAGCUAAUACAUGCUAAAAACCUCGACUUCGGAAGGGGUGUAUUUAUUAGAUAAAAAACCAAUGCCCUUCGGGGCUCCUUGGUGAUUCAUAAUAACUCAACGAAUCGCAUGGCCUUGUGCCGGCGAUGGUUCAUUCAAAUUUCUGCCCUAUCAACUUUCGAUGGUUGGGUAGUGGCCAACCAUGGUGUCAACGGGUAACGGGGAAUUAGGGUUCUAUUCCGGAGAGGGAGCCUGAGAAACGGCUACCACAUCCAAGGAAGGCAGCAGG